CUAUAGCCAUUUCAAAAGUAGUUUUAAAUUUUGUGUUUCUUUUACCUGCAGGUGCACAGAACAAGAUCUGCACUUCAUUGAGAGCUAGAAUGAGUUUUCUUGACCCAGAACCAGAUGCAAAGAACAAAACUUUUGUUGUUUUCCUAAGUGGACUCGUGGCAGACUUCAGGGCAGAAUGAGCAAAAUGGGAAACAUUUUGCACAAUACAAGAGUCCCCCCAGUGAGGCUGAGUCUGGUUUGAUUUAAUCAGGUUCUGACUCUCAAAAAUCAUUCAUUUAUUGCUUGAGAAAUUGCUUCAGAAAAGCAGUUUUAUCUCCGCUUGAGAAAUCCCUCCGACGCUUGCCUCACACAGAAACAACAUGGAUAUUAAGAACGUAGUUAAGUCCCAGGCAACUUUUUCCUGCCUGAGGGAUUUGUCAGAGGAUGGCGGUGACCUGCUUCAUUUCAACGGGGCAGUUGAUGUCACCACGGGGAGCGCAGAGGAGUCCUGCAGCAGACAUGUGCCUCCCCGCCCCACAGAUGCGACCACUUGUCACACAGGCAGCUGUUGCCUUAGCACACAAGAGUCUGGAGCUCUUCUGUCUCUGGCAGAUGUCCAGGCAUGUAAAACGACUGGGCCGGGCAGAUCUCUAACCGCCAAUUCCCAGCUCAGUGAGCUGGGAGACACUUCCGUGGGUAAUCACACCAGUUUUGGAAAAGGUGACUCUGAAAAUCCUGCUGCUGUUCUGGAGAUUUAUGCAGAGAAAGUAACAAGUGUAAGUGAUGAUUUUUCUGAUGAUGACCUGGAGUACUUUGAAUGUUCAGAUGUGCUUACAGUGCACGAAGAUGAAAUCUGGAGAAAGAAAUUACAAUUUUUAUUAGAAAGUGAUGAUGAAGAUGAUCUAAAACUGGGUAAGGACUGUGAUGGGUGUGCUUACUUCCUCAGUGAAAUGCCUCGUGUGUUCCAAGUGUCAGAUAACACUACGCCUGUGGAUACCCCCAUUGGCUUCCGUGAGCAUCAGUCAAAAAUCGAAGGAGUAAACGUAAGGAGAGACCCCUCUAUGAGCCAGUCAGCUCUGCAGACAGAGAUGACUCUCACUGUUGGACACCACCAAGAUAAAAGUACCAUUUUGAAAGACAAAGAGAAAAAUCAAGUGCCUGUUGCUGCUGCAGCCACUGGAAAUGAGCACCCGAGAAGUGAAGAAGAGACUGAUGGAAGUGACCAUCUGGCUGCAGGCUCCUCAAGGGAUGAGCCAAAGCCCACGGACACUGUCCCUGCCCAGGCAGACUCCUCUGCCUGUGGCAUAGGUGCUGCUUGCACAGAUGAGGCUUCGGGGACAGUGACAGAAACCAGCCCUGAUGGGGACGUGCCGGGGGAAAGCUCACUGCUGCUGGAGGAGGGGAGGAGGGCUGUGCCGGAGGGAAAUGCACGGCACGCUGUCUGUACCUUAACAGAGAGUCUGAGGAGAAACCUUUUCAAGCUGUUCAACCCUCUAGAACUCUGCAGAUAUGUAAGUGCUAUAGGACAGUCUUUCCAGGCUGCAGCAGAGGGCAGGGAGUCCAGAGCUCCGUCUCCCAGUCUGGAAGGUGCCCAUUCCACACAGACCCCUGAGGAGACAGAAAGCAGGCAAAUGCAGGCUGGUCCGUGUCCAGCAGAGGAGGCAGAUACAGACAGUCACCGGGAAGGGAAAAGCACUCGGGGCCUGGCUGAGCCAAACCAGAUGCCAGAUGAAAACAUCUCCUUUGGGAGUCAAGGUGCUAAUCUUAAAAGCGUUACCCAGAAUUGUGAGAACCUCUGUGUGGAGCCCAGAACAGAAAAGGAAGGGACCUUCACGGCUUGUGAGAGUUCAGGAACCAGCCAGCUCUCCACUGAAAAGAUGCUGCAAGUAAAGAAUGCAGAUUUACAGACCUCUUCUCUUCAGUGUGCUCCUUGUGAAAAGAGAGAAAGCUGUCACCAACAGCUCUUCCCUGGACAAGAAAUGAUUAGUAAUGGCAAAAAGUCAAAGAAUGACAUUUCCCCUUCUCCUCUAUGGGAUAUGGACUCUGCUCCUGAUAAACAGGAACGCUUGUGUGCUGUUUUCUCUUCUGCAAAGCUGUGUGAUGAGCCAGGGGAGGGAGAGCAAAUGUCUAGGCUUGACAUACCUGACAGCAGUAACCCAGAUAUUCUCUGCAACCGAUCAGCCAACCAGGCUGUGUCUGAAGCUAAUCCCAAAUCAGUCCUGGAAUCCCGAGAGCCCGAGUGCAAAGGAGAUGCUGAUAUAUCUGCAGUGCGUGACAAGCUGUGGAAACUUCUUCAUGGAGAUGACUCAGACUAUCAAAUCCCAUUUGAAAGCAGAGUCAUCCCAAGUUUAGGUACAAAGCUGACAGAUAUCAAAGUUCCAGAGCUGAACUUUGCGCAGGAGAUCUGUUCCGAUCAUCCUUUGCCAAUGGAUUUGACAGAAGAGCAGGAGCCCAUCACAGAACCAGCCCAUAACCCCAGAACUGAGAAAGAUUUCUGCAAGGUUUCUGAUAUCCACCUGCAGAGAGCUGCAGCACAGGAGAGUGUAUCCGUAGGAAACACUUGUCUUGCACAAGUGGUAGGUACAGAUGGUGUCUGUCCAGAUUCUGGCACUGGGAAUGAGAGGGAAAUGCCACCCAUUUGUGUUUCAGCAAACAAUGUCCUCUCAAGUACCCAGGAGUGCUUGGAGCCAAAUCCAAUGGCCACAGACAGGAAUGGAUCCACUGCGACCUGGGAAGGGAAGCUCGCUGUUAAUAAUGUUGCCCAAACAUGUGAAGCAGAUUCUCUUCAAAGGUUACAAAAUGCUCAGAGUGGUAAUUUAGCAUGUCCCGGAGCAAAUCCAGCUGACAUAUCAGAUAUGUCGCAUGGGACAGUUGGACAGUUACUUCAUCCUGAAUACAACAUAGCCAUGAUAGAUGAGUCUGUACCUGGAGAAGGCCGUCAUUUUAAGAGUUGUUAUCCAGUGAGAGAAGAACUGGCUUGUUUCCUUGAAGAGGAAGACAUUAUCCCCAGUGAAAAUACCAAUCAGUUUACACAUGCAGAGCAAUCUUCUGUUAACGCCGCACAUAAAAAUUAUGAAGUGAAUUUACGAGAAAAAGGAGAUAAUUCAGGCUUGAAUGCACCAAAUGACACCAAUUCUGACAGCUACCAUCUUUCAGAAAACAGUGGCUGUCAGGAUUUUCAAAUUGUUUCUAAUGCACAGAAAUACGGUUAUGUAAUGCAAUCGCCUGCUUUAAUUCAGAUUCACAAAACCGUAAAACAUAAGAAUCUACCCCAAAAUACAAGCCAACUGACAGAAAUAGCAGAACAAGGAGGUGCAGUCCCUCCCACUUCUGGGGGGCCAUUUCUAAGAGAUUUUUAUCUGGAAGUGCCCAGCUGUGAACCUUAUAAACCGGGAGGAGACCAGAGAGAGAUUUGCAUACCUGAGGAGCACAGGCCUGAAACUUCCUGUGACUCAGGAGUCAGUCAGGCUUUAGAGAGUCAGACUUCCCCUUAUAAUACAGCAGAACAGCAUUCAUUUAUUGCUGACAGCACCUUCAAGUCCGACGAAGAGUUAAAAAUGGAUUCUUCAGAAAAUCCCACCUUUGCUGCUAGAAGUGUAACAUCAGCCAGUCAGCACCUUCAAGUCCGACGAAGAGUUAAAAACGGAUUCUUCAGAAAAUCCCACCUAUGCUGCUAGAAGUGUAACAUCAGCCAGCGCCCCGCUGCCUCGGGAAGCUCAGGAUGAGCACCACAGCACGGCAGACGGGGAAGAUGGAGGUUCUGGGGAUCAGCUACGUUCCCAACAACUGCUUGGAAACAAAAGCCUGCCCUUCCUCACACCUGUGAGCCACUCAGAGGGCCUUGCCAGUGAAUCUGCAGCGGCAUGUCCUGGCACAAGAAGUGAGGGAAAAACUGUAUCUAUACACACUGGAGUCAAAGUAAACAAAAAUUUAGCUACAUUGGAAAAUUCCUGCAAGUCAUGGCAGAGGGUCCCUGGAGAAACGGCAGGGAAAGCAGCCUUGUGUGAAAAUGAACGUGAGAUUCCAAGAGCUAUUGAAUAUAUCCCAGGCGAGGUUGAAACAAAGACUCCUUUGCACACUUUGGCUGGCCCCCAGACUCUGAAACAGAUUAUGAAUAUUAGCACAGAGCAGUCUUGUCCUGACUCGAUCCCUUCCAGCAAGAUAACUGAGACUGAGAAUUCAGUUAAGUCCACUGAGUAUGAUGAAAAGGAGGAAGUCAGGACAGCAGAGAGUGCAGCAAGUGGUUUUGUUAAUUUGCCACCAAUUGGUGCAGGGAACAACCAGUGUUCUCAAGAACAAGCAUCCCACAGAAGAACUCCAUCAUUCUCUUUGACAUGGACCACACUUGAUCCAUUCCCAGUCAACAUAGAAAGUCAGAGAAAUCAGGAAGGGUCAAAAUCCUGCCAGACAUCACUGGCUGCUGCAGAGCCUGAGCCCAUCAAAUGUAAAGAGGACCCAACAAAGAGUGGGCAUGUAGCUGCUGGAGCUAAGAAGAAAUUACCAGCAGCAACUCAGUCCAAAAAACCCAGGCUGGACGAGAGGGGAAGUGUUAGCAAGGAUCCCAGCUGCGUUAAAAAGUCUGGGAAGAGCGAGGGAGGCCUGAUUCAUAAAGAGGAUGGAAAAGAGCAAAGGAAACUCAUUCUGAAAAAGGAUAGCAAAGGUAAGAGAAAACAGAUUUUCUUUUCUGUCUUUUUCAAUUAUUCUGGAUAUUGUACAAAAUUCAGAUUAUUGAAAGGCACUGCAAGCUUCUUUCAGACUGACUCAGCCAGCUGAAGGUGUCCUGCCCUCAUGGAGCUUUAUUUCCAGGUAUGCUCCUGCAUUGCAGCUCCCAGCUGCAAUUGUCCCCUCUUGGUUACCAAAGGAUUUAUUACCAGCAGAGCAUUGCUGCUAGCAGAAAGGUACCACUGAUAAACAAUGCUUUGAGGUCCUAUGUGCUGACUUCUGGCUGGUUCUGCAUUGCUUUGCCCUGCUGCAAAAAAUGACACAGAUGAAAUGAGCAAUAUUAAACUGAUAAAGGAAACAUGAUCGCAAGCAGAUUGGGAUUGCUGUCAGAGUCUCUAGAAGGUUGCUGAUAUUGUAGCAGGAUUGUGACAGCUGGGCCAAGGAGGGAUUUGUUGUUUCUAUAGGUAGUUUGCAAGGACCAAGGUCUUAUUUUUACCUUUUGACAUGACAUUUCAUGUUCACAUCAUAAAAUUGUUUAAUAGGCCAGAGCGAGACUGAACAGCGACUGAAGGUAAGCUACACAUUUGUGGAGCUUUUCACACACUAAUUACUGUGCUGUCUCGUGAGACUUCUACUUUUCUAAUCACGUUUUUAAAAAUCCCAGACUUUUCUCCGUUCAAAGGUGUGUCCUUUGCCAGGGAACCAAAUGUGUGGGAGGAGAGACACAUUUCUUCAAAGCAGAAUAAGCAAACUGCAGUGACUGUGCAACGACUGGCCUGUUUCCAUUACUCAAGGCUGCGCUUGAAAAAUUUUUUAAACAUUCGGGCUGCAUCAGAUAACACUGAAUUUUCUUCAGCCGUUUCUGCUCUGCCUCAGCCUUGACUGAAGUAUGCCUGUGCUCUAGAGCAUUGUUGUGGCCCUUUCCCUGGAAGGCUGGUUUGGUUGCUGUGGAAUAUAUUCAACGUUCUUUUGCAUUAUUUCAGCUGCAGGAGGGAAGACUGUGGCCAGGGCAGAAACCUGGAGCCAUUAGUGCCAUUUCUAGAGCUGCCACGUCCUGUCUGUGUCACUUCAGCCCUGAUACACCAAGGUUCACAUGGCCCAAGAUUCAGGGACUGCCAGUCCAGUGGGGAGACCUGGACUGGAUGGGGUCUGGAACUGGGAAUGGGGAAAACCAUAGCGACGUUCCUGACCCUUCGAGUUGGGUGUUACUGCAGUAUUGCUGCAGGAAUGGCAUCCCCGAGGGACAC
rnacentral:lncRNA from 12 species